rnacentral:rRNA from 2 species
CGAACGCUGGCGGCAGGCUUAACACAUGCAAGUCGAGCGCCCCGCAAGGGGAGCGGCAGACGGGUGAGUAACGCGUGGGAACGUACCUUUUGCUACGGAAUAACUCAGGGAAACUUGUGCUAAUACCGUAUGUGCCCUUCGGGGGAAAGAUUUAUCGGCAAAGGAUCGGCCCGCGUUGGAUUAGCUAGUUGGUGAGGUAAAGGCUCACCAAGGCGACGAUCCAUAGCUGGUCUGAGAGGAUGAUCAGCCACACUGGGACUGAGACACGGCCCAGACUCCUACGGGAGGCAGCAGUGGGGAAUAUUGGACAAUGGGCGCAAGCCUGAUCCAGCCAUGCCGCGUGAGUGAUGAAGGCCCUAGGGUUGUAAAGCUCUUUCACCGGUGAAGAUAAUGACGGUAACCGGAGAAGAAGCCC